rnacentral:lncRNA from 1 species
UUUGAACAAGAACCAAAAUGUGGCAGCAGCUGUUCUACUUUUCUUUGUAAUUGUAGUGUUCAUUUUUGAAUUGUAAUUGGUUUUUGUGUUAGUUUUCCUUUAUUUGUAAAAGGCCAUUCAAAGUCCAAGUUGUCUUGGAAGAGUCCUUGGUGCUCUUUCAACUCUUGGCAAAACUUUUCUUGUGUGUUUUAAUUUGCGUUACACGUUUAGGAGUUACAUUAGAGUCCGGCAUUAGAGUCCCAACUUGUUGUUUUCCUUUGUUUUUGAUUUGCUUUUGAGUCUUCUUUUGUGAUUUUAAAAGUAAUCUUGCAAGUAACAACAACUAAGUGAGUAGCCUAGAACAAUUUUGGCAAGGACAAGGCUUGGUACUUAAGCAAUCCUAGUGAUUCACCUCCCUUACCUGGAAAUUGUUCUUGGGUGAAAUCUAAGUAGUUGUGACACAAGAAAACUUUUAGAAACAAAAAAAAAAGUCUUUUUAUUCAUCUAGGUUGUCUAGUUCAUACAUUAAGGAUGAUUUGUGUACUAAAGCUAGAAAAAUUCCCUUCUUUGGUAAAGAUACAAAUGUUUUAACAUACCUAGUUUGGGAAAAAGAAAUUAAUCAAAUGCAUCCUGAUCUUCUUAAGCAAAGUGAACUUGAGUCUUAUAGUACAAUUGUCCUUUCUAGAGAGUGUGAAUCUCGAGUUCUUAGUUUAUAU